UACGUAGGUGACAAGCGUUAUCCGGAUUUAUUGGGCGUAAAGCGCACGCAGGCGGCCGCCUAAGUCUGACGUGAAAUCUCUCGGCUUAACCGGGAGCGGUCGUUGGAAACUAGGUAGCUUGAGGCAAUGAGAGGGGUGUGGAAUUCCCGGUGUAGUGGUGGAAUGCGUAGAUAUCGGGAGGAACAUCAGUGGCGAAAGCGGCACCCUGGCAUUAGCCUGACGCUCAUGUGCGAAAGCGUGGGGAGCAAACGGG
rnacentral:rRNA from 1 species